CGCCACCACCUCGCCGCCGACGCCAGGAAUCCAAGCUCCACCGGCCACUACCGGCGCGCAAACCCUAGCUCCGCCGCUAAGCAACGGCGACGAGCAAAACCUAAUCCUAGGAGGACAACUACCUAAGCUAUAUACAUCUGCACGACGAUUCCGUGGCCCAUCCCCCUCUCCGGAGCCAUAGCGGCCGCCGGAGAGGGAGAAGGCUGCCGGAAUCGCCGCCGGAAACGGCGAUCCCCCCUUUUCCGCCCCUCUCAACUGUAGCAAGGGGAAAAGUCGGGAAGAGUCGAGACAGGCAAGACGCGCGAGGCGUAGUUGAGCGAGAAGCAGAGCAGAGUUGGAGGUAAAGGGCGACAGGAGGAGAGGAAGUUGAGCGGAGCCGCGGGAGCGUGCGUACGGCCAGUUAGCGGAGCCAGGCCCGGACUGUGCGACCAUUUCGGCCGCAUAAGGAUAGCCUGGCCACGGGCGUCCAUUUGCACAAUGGGAGCCUGGCUCCAGCUUUUAAACAGACAACCAAACAUCUCCUCCUUGUCCUACUAGAGCCUGGUUGGGCUUUACGCAGCCAACCAAACAGUCCCUAUCUAGCGAGGAGCACGCGCGGGCGGCCACAAAAAUGAUGGGGCGGCAUGCGGGCUGCCGCGUAAUCGAUUGCCGCAAGCAACAGUGGUGGUGGUAGGCCUUCUGGGCCUCUAGUGGGCUAUGGAUGAUGGAUCUGAUCCACGAGUGGUAAUGGUAACGGAGGAGGAGGCUCCUCUUCCCGAGCUUCUCUCCCCACCACAUUUCUCCCUGCCUCCCUUGGAGGAGAGUCGGUGAGUCCUCUCGUCUCAACGGCCGGCCAAAGCAGAAAGGAUUGGCAGCCAGCCCAAUCUGUCUGCUCUCCUCUCAUCGACGGACUUCCAGCGAGAAACCGAGCAAGGAGACAAGGACGAACCCAAGGGGCCAUCCAGACAUUUCUUCUACAUCAUACGCCUAUGCUGCGGCUGCGGCUGCGGGAUGGAGGAAGCAGCUAAUAACCUUCAAGGGGAAGGGGAAGGGGAAGGGGACGGGACCGUCGCUCCCGCAUCUCCUCCAUCCACUAGCUCUUCUUUGUCUCACCACCAUUCUCAACAAGACGGCCACGACGACCAACAGCAUGAAACGCAACAGCAGAGCAGCAGCUACAAACAAGCCUCAGAGAUGGAUCCCAAGUCGUCCCACGUCGACACCGCCGCGCCGAUCGAUUCCGUCAAAGGCGCCGUCACCAAACUCGGGGGGAUCCCUCAUUGGAGAGAGGUGCAGAAACGCAAGCAAGCCCAUGAUGAGUAUGACUGCGACAAGCUGCAGCAAGAGCCCACCACGGACCACCACAAGAGAUCAAUGGAGGCCGCCAGCGCGCAAGCUCUGCACGACCUCAGGACCACCACCAGCGCCGCCGACAAGCUGAGGCUCGGCCUCAAGAAAGCGCAGAUUGAGGAGGCCCAAGCGCGCCAGGAAGCCGACCUCGCCGACCGCCGCCUCCGGGAGGUGCAGCGCGCCGCCACCGAGACAGCCGCGGCCAAGGCGGACCUGGAGAGCGCGCUCGCCGACCUGCGGGCGGCGCGAGCGGAGCUCCAGUCGCGGGAGAAGGUGUGCGCCGCCGCCGCCGCCGAGGCGGCCGCCGUGGUGGCACGAGCGCGGGACGCCGCCGCGGAGUCGCGGGAGACUCGGGCGGCCGUCGAGGGCCUCGCCGCCGAGCUCAUUGAGCUCAAAGCGGAGCUGGAGUCUUCGCACGCCGCUCUUGUGGCGGCGGAGGAGAAGAGACUCAGCCUCGCGUUGGCCUUGGAGCAAGACAAGUCGCAAUGGCAGAUGGAGCUGGAGGAUGCCCAGCAGGAGGCCAAGAGGCUACGAGCUGAGCUCAUGGCGGCCUGUGAUGUCGAGAUGAAAGCAGAGGCCGCUUCCCAACUGCUGGCGAGCCUAAAAGCCGAGCUCUUCGCUUGCGGCGGCGGCGAGGACGACAAGCGCUCCCUGCCGAUGCUGGAGGAGGUCAACAAGGAGCUUCAAGACGUGAAGGCGAGCGUCGAGAGGGCCAGGGACGAGGCCAAGUGCCUGCGCGCCGCCGCCGCCUCGAUGGGAGAUGAGCUGGCCAAGGAGAAGGCGGAGCUCGCCGCGCUGCGGCGGAGGGAAGGGCUCGCGUCAGCGUCCAUCCCAUCUCUCAACGACGAGUUGAGCCGGCUGACCUCCGAGCUCGCCGCGGCUGAGGCGACAGCGAAGGCGGCCAACGACGAGAGCUGCAAGAUGGCCGCCCAACAGAUAGGCGAGGCGCGGCGAGAAGCGGAGGAGGCGAGGGCCAAGGCCCGGUCCGCUCGCGAGGAGGUUGCAAAGGCCAGGGAAGAAGCCGGCUUGGCGAAGGCCUCCGUCGCCACCAUGGAGGCGCGGCUGGAGGCGGUGCAGCGGGAGAUACUCGCCGCCGCCACGUCGGAGGAGAUGGCCACGGCCUCGGCGGCCGCGCUUCUGCAGGAAAGCAGCAAGCCGCCGAGUAAGGCCGUCGAAGCAGGGGGCGUGACACUGACGGUGGAGGAGUACGAGGAGCUGAGCCGGAGAGCGCGGGAGACGGAGGAGAAGGCCGGCAAGCGGGUGAUGGAGGCGGUGAAGCUGAUCAAGGAAGCCAAGGACGCGGAGGUGCGCAUCCUGGAGAAGCUCGCGAAGCAAGACAGGCAGACGGAGCAGAGGCGGCAAGCGCUUGAGGCGGCGACGCUGGAGGCCGAGGAGGCGGAGUUCGACAAGCUUUCGGCGGAGCGGGAGCUGAGGCAGUGGCAUGCCGAGCACGAUUCGCAGCGGCGCGGCGCGGCCGGCGAGACGGAGUCGCCCCGCGCGGGGCUCGCAGAGAUCUCCGUGCUCAACGACCCGGGCGCCGGCGACGGGCGCGGGAACCCUCACAUAGUGAGCCCGAGAGGAGGAUACAUGCCGAGGACCGAGUUGAUGGCGGAGGCGGAUGCGAGGCAGAGGAAGACGACCUUCUUCCCGCGAAUGGUCAUGUUCUUGGCGCGAAGAAGAGCACAGGCUUGGAAGUGAUCUUUAACCCUUUUGGUUACACGGCUUGCUCCGAGGCGAGCAGAUGAAAAUGAGGUUACUAUGCAUGUGUAAAUGUGUAUGGGCUCCGAGUUUUGGAAACGAGAACUACACCAUGAUAACCUGUGUUGGACGACCAUUGCCAAAUCUUGCAAGCUCAAAACUUGCAGAAAUUAAUUUGGUAUACAUACGCGUAUUAGGCAUCGUCCGCGUAAGUACAUACGCGUUCCCUAUCCACUCUCUCGUCCUCUCCACAUCCACUAUGUACCUACUCUUUUACUUUUGUGUGGCCAUAACGAGUUAAUCGUUCAUUUCUGACGAACAACAAAUGGCAUUCUCUAUUUUGUUACUUUGUGAUCCGUUCAAUGAUCAUGACUCCCAUUGUGUGCAUGGUGGGCAUUGCUACCAA